UCCCCUCUGGGCUCUGGAAGCGGCGGCUCCUCCCCUCUGGGCUCUGGAAGCGUCGGCUCCUCCCCUCUGGGCUCUGGAGACUGCGGAGUAACCGCUCCAAUUCGGUUGGCUCCCGCUCCUGUCUCUUCUGCGGUGCCAACCCCAUCUCUCUCUCCCAUCUCUCCAGCUGCUCCUUCUGAGCAGCGGCCUUUCUAUUAAUCUGCCUGGGUCGUAGGGGCGCCCACACUUUCUGACACCAAAUGUAAAAGAUCUUCACCCACUCGGGUUCGUUGCCCCUUUAAAAAUAGACCCGGCACACAGAAAUGGAUUUUAAGCGCUGGUGCGCUAUUUUUAAUCAACACAAAAAUUAAACAAAACACACAAAAUAAACACCUAGCUCGGUACGAGCACUAACUAACACACAGGAACACCCUGGCUAACACGGGACAUCUACACUGUUUCCCCGUCCUUACAAAACACACUGGUUUUAUACAGCACUUACUUUUUAGCUCAUGACUGCCAGGAAGCAGAGCACACCUUUCUGCCUCCUUCUCCUCAGCAGCCUUGAGCAGACUAGCUGCCUCUCUUAAAUACCCUGCACCUGGUUUUAAUUUAACAAUAGCUACCAGGUGCAGGGGAUAAUUAAUAAUAAAACAAUUAACAAAUCAAAGAAACAAUCAACCAAAACAAUUAAACUAAACAAAUGUGCAUUCCACACAUGUUUUCCACUCAUGGAGGCUUUAACCCCCUCCCUGCUGUGUUACAGUAUACAUAAGCAUAGGCAAAUUGUAAGCAUGGCAAAUUCUUUGUUGAGAUUUAGUAAUGUCUUUCUCAAAGAGACCCAAGUGUAAAUGUUUGUCGUAAGCACCAUGGAUAAUAGCAUUUACAUAAUGUCCCGUGACAAGAAAUUACAUCUAAAAUACAAAUGUAUUUUUUUCAGAUUUGUAAAAAAAGACCUGCUUCUCCUGGUGUUGUAUCCUUGCUGGAUGGAGAUGGUGAAGAUGCUGGAGGCGGCUAAGCCAGCACAGUAUGGGGUAGAUUUGACAAGGGACAAGAAAAGAAGGCCACCUCCCCUCCAGACAUUCCGAUCAGAGAAAAGAGACAAUUCGAAGCCAACCCAAAGAGACGUCCAAGACCUUGUCUGGGCUGCCUAUCUGUAAUAUCAGCUAAAAAGGAGGCUCCUGUAACACAUACAGCUGAUCCUGUCCUAAUGUGAAGGUGGAUCCAACAAGUGACGUCGUGAUCCUGCCAGUCGAAGUGCAGAAAAAUCACAGUCAAAUGCAUGUUGGCCUGAUAACCAAAUAUUGUUCUUUUUUUUUUUUUUUUUUUUUUUUAAUCCUGCGCUAGUAAAUCAUGUAUCUGUGUCAGGAUAGCAUAUACAGCAUGCUCAUGCCUAAGUAAACAAACAUUUUAAGAACAUAAGAAAGUUUACAAACGAGAGGAGGCCAUUCGGCCCAUCUUGCUCUUUUGGUUGUUAGUAGCUUAUUGAUCCCAGAAUCUCAUCAAGCAG